rnacentral:rRNA from 1 species
UACGAAGGGGGCUAGCGUUGUUCGGAAUUACUGGGCGUAAAGCGCACGUAGGCGGAUAUUUAAGUCAGGGGUGAAAUCCCAGAGCUCAACUCUGGAACUGCCUUUGAUACUGGGUAUCUUGAGUAUGGAAGAGGUAAGUGGAAUUGCGGAAGUGUAGAGGUGAAAUUCGUAGAUAUUCGCAGGAACACCAGUGGCGAAGGCGGCUUCCUGGUCUGCGAACUG